rnacentral:rRNA from 1 species
UGGGGAAUAUUGCACAAUGGAGGAAACUCUGAUGCAGCGACGCCGCGUGAGUGAAGAAGGUCUUCGGAUCGUAAAACUCUGUCCUUGGUGACGAAAAAAAUGACGGUAGCCAAGGAGGAAGCCCCGGCUAACUACGUGCCAGCAGCCGCGGUAAUACGUAGGGGGCGAGCGUUGUCCGGAUUUACUGGGCGUAAAGGGUGAGUAGGCGGUAAUAUGUGUCAGAUGUAAAAGGCUAUGGCUUAACCAUAGUUAGCAUUUGAAACUGUAUUACUUGAGUGCAGGAGAGGUAAGUGGAAUUCCUAGUGUAGCGGUGAAAUGCGUAGAUAUUAGGAGGAACACCAGUGGCGAAGGCGACUUACUGGACUGUAACUGACGCUGAGUCACGAAAGCGUGGGUAGCAAACA